AUACGGAGGGUGCAAGCGUUAUUCGGAAUCACUGGGCGUAAAGGGUGCGUAGGCGGUUUGAUAAGUCUGAUGUGAAAUCCUAUGGCUCAACCAUAGAACUGCAUUGGAAACUGUCAGACUAGAAUACUGAAGGGGCAGAUGGAAUUAGUGGUGUAGGGGUAAAAUCCGUAGAUAUCACUAGGAAUACCGAAAGCGAAAGCGAUCUGCUGGGAAGUUAUUGACGCUGAGGCACGAAAGCGUGGGGAGCAAACGAGAUUAGAAACCCCAGUAGUCC
rnacentral:rRNA from 1 species